UACGAACCGUACAAACGUUAUUCGGAAUCACUGGGCUUAAAGGGUGCGUAGGCGGCCAUGUAAGUGAGGUGUGAAAUCCCUCGGCUCAACCGAGGAACUGCGCUUCAUACUGCAUGGCUUGAGGGAGACAGGGGUAAGCGGAACUGAUGGUGGAGCGGUGAAAUGCGUUGAGAUCGGAAGGAACGCCCGCGGCGAAAGCGCGUCCCUGGACCCCACCUGACGCUGAGACGCGAAAGCCAGGGGAGCGAACGGG
rnacentral:rRNA from 1 species